ensembl:lncRNA
UGCAUAAUUAAUCCAUGCCCUAAAAACUACCCACUGCUCUAAGCAGCCUGAGAACUGACAGGAAGUGCUGUGAAAUGAGGUCUCCUGUAAAGCUCUGCUGUCCCCAUGAGUCAUUUGUAGGGUCUGCCAGCCCCAGGGUGUCACCUGGCUUCAGCUCUCACCACGGCCACAUUUGGGAGGAAGACAGAAUUAUGUAGUACAUAAUUAAUCCUACAUUUCAGCUCUGACUCCAGGGGGAGGGUGGGGGUGAAAGGAGAGGUCGGCUCUGCAUAUCUCCCCCUCUCCCAUCACCCACUUGUACCUGCCUGCAGGGAUUUGGUUUUCAUCACCUAGGCAAAAAGGGAAACUGGGAGAAGAGCAACAAAAAUGGAAUCUGCAAGGAAACACAGAGGAAACUGUAAAGCAACAUCUGACAGUCAUGUCUGGCCAACCCAUGAAGAUUCCUCCCAGUAAAAACAUGGAGGACAGCUUUACCUUUCUGGGCAGGAGUAUCCAGGAGAGCAGGAAAGGAGACCACCCUACCCCAGGCCAACAAGGGCAGGCAGAGACUUGGUGGUGGUGAGAUGACCAGGAUACCCUCCUGCCCACUGCUGGCGCAAGGGUCUGUGGACUCCUUCCUCUUGUCCCAUUGUCCUCCCAUUCCAUCAUGGUUCCUGGGGCCUUAGCAACAGUGUCCUCUCCUUGUUGGUCACCGCUCCUUUGCUACUAAGCACAACUCAGCAGGCAAGGAGAGGGUGGUUCCCACCAGCUUGCAGUCUGUCCCAGAUGUUUCCACAGGGCUGAGGGAUGCUGGUAGCAGUGCAGGGUCUUGCCUUAGUGGAGGACAUGUGAGACCACAUCAUGGAGGUCAGACUGCUGGUUUUCUGAAAGCAGUAUGCUGAUCUGCAAGCUUGUUGUGUGUUUCUCCACGAGGACAGCCCAGACAUGCCAUCCUUGGACCCAUCUGUUGAAGUCAUGGUGGAAGGUUUCCAUCCAAGGACUUUCUCACUGUUUUUUUUUCUCUCAGAGCCUUCUGAUAUACAUUGUACCCUCAGCCCUCUCUGCCAUGAGCUGUCCCCACUGUCCCCAGUUCAAUAUCAUCCUCAUCCCUGCUGGUGUUGAGGCAUCGAGUGACUGCGUGGCAUCCUAUCCUGCCAUCCUCCAAAAGGCUCUCUGGCUUGGGCUGGAUGUAUCAGGCAGUAGAAAACCACCUGUGGAAGGACCUUCCCCAGUGGUGACCUCGAGGUGGAUUGAAGCUGGAGUUCCUGCAGUGCUCAUUCAUCAGUCUCCGUCAAGUUUUGCUGGAGUGAAGAGUGGGGUGCUGCACUGCAGUGAAAGCCAUUAAAAAAUGCAGUCAAAUGAAGCUUGGUGGGGACACUUAUUUUUCCAGCCACAAAAGUGAGAACGGUUCAUAGGAUCAUUGUGGACUCACAUCGCAGUGCAGUGAAGAGCAGAAAUUUGCUUUGUUGAAAGCAGUCUAACUGGAUUAAUUUUUGUUCUUUUUCUCAUAAUAGCUUUAAUAAAACUGGCAAAAUGUGUCUGCCUUUGAAUGUAAAAUCCCUGACUCUUCCGAUUUCAUUGUGACUCCAGUGGGCCAACAUUUUAAUCUGAAGUGUUCUCCUUCUGCUACUCUCCCACUGUGCCAGGAUACUGGGAAAAAUUUCUUCUCAGAAAGAGUGUUGAUACACUGGCACAGGCUGCUCAGGAAGGUGGUGGAGUCACCAUCCCUGGAGGUGUUCAAGAACCGUGUAGAUGUGGUGCUGAGGGACAUGGUUAGUGGGCAUGGUGGGAUGGGUUGGUAGUUGGACUAGGUGAUCUUAGUGGUCUUUUCCAAUCUUAAUGAUUCUAUGAUUCCAUGAGUCAAAUCUUUCCAAGACAUCCGGAUCACAGUCUGGCUCUUGCCUGC